AUUGAACGCUGGCGGCAGGCCUAACACAUGCAAGUCGAACGAGUGGCGGACGGGUGAGUAAUGUCUGGGAAACUGCCCGAUGGAGGGGGAUAACUACUGGAAACGGUAGCUAAUACCGCAUACCAUCGGAUGUGCCCAGAUGGGAUUAGCUUGUAGGUGAGGUAACGGCUCACCUAGGCGACGAUCCCUAGCUGGUCUGAGAGGAUGACCAGCAACACGGGAACUGAGACAAGGUCCAGACGCGUACGGGGUGCAGCAGUGGGGAAGAGUGGAAAAUGGGCGCAAGCCGGAUGCAGCCAGGCCGCGUGUAUGAAGAAGGCCUUCGUGUUGUAAAGUAAUUGCAGCGGGGAGGCGUUACCCGCAGAAGAAGCAACGGCUAACGCCGUGCCAGCAGCCGCGGUAAUAC
rnacentral:rRNA from 1 species